ACUCCUACGGGAGGCAGCAGUGGGGAAUUUUGGACAAUGGGCGAAAGCCUGAUCCAGCAAUGCCGCGUGUGUGAAGAAGGCCUUCGGGUUGUAAAGCACUUUUGUCCGGAAAGAAAUCCUUGGCUCUAAUACAGUCGGGGGAUGACGGUACCGGAAGAAUAAGCACCGGCUAACUACGUGCCAGCAGCCGCGGUAAUACGUAGGGUGCGAGCGUUAAUCGGAAUUACUGGGCGUAAAGCGUGCGCAGGCGGUUUGCUAAGACCGAUGUGAAAUCCCCGGGCUCAACCUGGGAACUGCAUUGGUGACUGGCAGGCUAGAGUAUGGCAGAGGGGGGUAGAAUUCCACGUGUAGCAGUGAAAUGCGUAGAGAUGUGGAGGAAUACCGAUGGCGAAGGCAGCCCCCUGGGCCAAUACUGACGCUCAUGCACGAAAGCGUGGGGAGCAAACAGGAUUAGAUACCCCUGUAGUCCCAU
rnacentral:rRNA from 1 species